UUGAAUAAAACUGGGUUGGGCUGUUGCUGGCUUCUAGGAGCAUGUGCACGUCUAAUCCAAUUUAUAACCACCUGUGCACCUUGUGUAGACUUGAACAGUUCUCGAGACAAAUGUUCUCGGUUUGAGAAUUGCUGUUGCGCAAGCUCAGCUUUUCUCAUGUUCUCGUCUAUGUCUUUAUAUAUACACUCCAGAAUGUAUUAGAAUGUAUUAAAUAGGCCAUCGUGCCUUUAAACACAAAUA
rnacentral:misc_RNA from 1 species